UGGAGAUAGGAAAAUAAAAGGGUAUAGUUAGUUUAUAUAGGAUACUGUUUUUAUAGUGGUUUUUUGUUUUUUUUUUUUUGAGAUGGAGUUUUGCUGUUGUGGCCUAGGCUGGGGUGCAAAGGUGUGAUCUCGACUCACUGCAACCUCUGCCUCCCGGGUUCCAGCAAUUCUCCUGCCUCUGCCUCCCGAGUACCUGGGAUUACAGGUGCCUGCUACCAUGCCCAGCUAAUUUUUGUAUUUUUAGUAGAGACAGGGUUUUGCCACGUUGGCCAGACUGGUCUCGAACUCCUGACCUCAGGUGAUCCACCCACCUCGGCCUCUCAAAGUGCUGGGAUUACAGGUUUGAACCACUGCACCCGGCCAGUAAAAGAAAUUUUGAAGGCCAUUGCAGCUAUUUGGUAGUGUCUUGUUAUUUCUAGGUGUACCUUAGUUAAAGAGGAAAAAUAAAACGGAAAAAAGCUUGGAAAUCAGUGAUGUGUAGUUAUUUGGCAAGUUAUACAUAAUCAGCAGCAGCCAGGCUCAAGAAAAUAAAAGUUGAUUAGUUGAUCAGAAAUAAAAUCUGUAGAGUGAAUUAGAUUUCUGAGUUGUUGUUGUUAAUGGAACAUUCUAUUUGAGACCUUUUUCAGGUGUGUAGCAAUUCUACCAUGUCCAUUUUUUUAAGCAUUAAAAAGGAACUUACCAGUUGUAAAUUAAGACAAGAUCCAAAUAGUCAUAUUUUUGUGUUUCCUCUAAAAAAAUGUAAGAUUUCCAUUUUUGGCACUGACUAACUGAGCCUACAUCUAGAUUUUAAAUACCAUCUUGAAUCCUAAUAAUUAAACUGAUGAAAGUGCAUAUCAUUGUUCCUAACAUUUAUGAACCCCCAUAAAGAUGUUCCUGAUCUUUAAAACUCAUUAAUCUGAGUAUUAAGUAGAAACAGAAUUUUCCAAAGCAUUAGACAUCACUUUCUCAGUUUAUCUGAGGUGACUUCGUGUACAUCUGUUUCUAAUAUAUUUGACUAAUUUUCAUGAUCUCAGAUUGUGAGGUAAAUGUAAUCUGGAAUAAUAAGUGUCUUUUACCUAGAUUACAUCUCUCAUUUGGAGUUUGGCAAUGAAACUGCUAUGAAGAAUGACUGUACUCUCCUAUCUGUCCCUGGAUGACAUAAAUAUCAUUUGCUUUGUUGUUUAAACUGAAAUAAAGUUUUCCAAGAACAAAGUAAGCAUUCUUCAUUCUUUUUCAGUUUUAAUUCCAAAUAUACUUUAUAGAUUUUUUUGCAGAAUUUAAUGAGGUGAUGCUUUAAUCAUAUGAAUAAUAAAUGCACCUGAGAUUUCUCUCUAGUAAAGAAAAGAAAAUAUGGAAACACUUUUAUGGUAAGAAAGUUACUUCUUGGCAUUUGAACAAAUAACUUGGGAGGGUAAUCCACUGAAUCAGUCAUUUUCAAUUUCACUUAUUGUAACUUAUGGUUAUAGUUGCUAGGGAUCAUUUUGAUCAUCUUUGAUAGAAUUCUUUUUGUUAUUUCUCCUUUCUAAAUUUUGCUUUGUUAUGAUUCAGAACAGAUCAUAUUAAAGGGCCAGCUUAUAUUUUAUGUAAACCAGUAGAAGAAAAAGUACCCAACAAGGUAAAGAUGUUUAGAAAAUAAUGUUUCAAAAGUUUGGUGAUUUUAUAGUCAAGGUGACUUUAAUUUUCUUAAUAAAAACAUAGUAUUUUCUAACAAGGAAGUUGGUCAUCAUUCAGUUAACAUCUGAAUUCUGCUUUUUGAUAGGGGCAUCAAGUUUUUUGUUUGUUUGUUUGUUUGUUUUUUGAGACAGGGUCUUGCUCUGCCACCCAGGCUGGAGUGCAGUGGCUCAGUCUCCACUCACUGUAGCCCC
rnacentral:lncRNA from 1 species